AGGGGAGGCCGGAUCCUGGGCUGUGUCCUGGCGCCCUGUGCUCCGUAGCCUGCGCUGUUGGAUUCGCGCUCCCGCCCCGCAGCCCCCU
rnacentral:pre_miRNA from 1 species